rnacentral:rRNA from 1 species
UCGAGAAUUUUUCUCAAUGGGCGAAAGCCUGAUCCAGCAAUGCCGCGUGAGUGAUGAAGGCCUUAGGGUUGUAAAGCUCUUUUACCCGGGAUGAUAAUGACAGUACCGGGAGAAUAAGCCCCGGCUAACUCCGUGCCAGCAGCCGCGGUAAUACGGAGGGGGCUAGCGUUGUUCGGAAUUACUGGGCGUAAAGCGCGCGUAGGCGGCUUUGUAAGUUAGAGGUGAAAGCCCGGAGCUCAACUCCGGAAUUGCCUUUAAGACUGCAUCGCUAGAAUCAUGGAGAGGUGAGUGGAAUUCCGAGUGUAGAGGUGAAAUUCGUAGAUAUUCGGAAGAACACCAGUGGCGAAGGCGACUCACUGGACAUGUAUUGACGCUGAGGUGCGAAAGCGUGGGGAGCAAA